UACGUAGGGUGCAAGCGUUGUCCGGAAUUAUUGGGCGUAAAGAGCUCGUAGGCGGUUUGUCGCGUCUGCUGUGAAAACCCGAGGCUCAACCUCGGGCCUGCAGUGGGUACGGGCAGACUAGAGUGCGGUAGGGGAGAUUGGAAUUCCCGGUGUAGCAGUGAAAUGUGUAGAGAUCGGGAGGAACACCAGUGGCGAAAGCACUCUGCUGGCCGACACUGACACUGAGAGACGAAGCUAGGAGCGAAUGGG
rnacentral:rRNA from 1 species